UGCACUAGACGCAAGGUCUCUCGAUUAGGAAUUGAAACUGAGGUGACUAUGAUAGUUGCACAGUGCCAAAAACAGAAUGAUAGAUAAGCACAACUGUGACACGGAUCGAAAAUGCCUCGAGUAAAAGAGAUUAAAACCGGAAAGUUGGAUCACAUGAAGAGACAGAACUACUUUAAACCGAGACAAGUUCAGUUUUGUAAGGUGAUUGAAGGACUAGAUACAGAGUACUACCUCAUCAAACUCUUCAGACAUGAUGAUAAGCUUCAUCGCAGGGUGCCAAAAGGUUCUAUUCAGUUCAACAAAGCUGAUGUCUGUGCAGUUCACAUGUGGGAGGCAAAGGAAGAGAAAAAGAAAUUGCUUCGGUCUCAAGUUAUUUUGAAAAAUCAUGUUAUUUUGUUUUUACCUGAACCAGUCGUUUUUCUUGAGAAGAGUAGUGAUGAGUCUCUUGAAGCACUAGAGUUGUUGGAGUGGUACAACUGCUUUGUGAAAGAAUUCAAGCACAGGCACCACUGGGAAGUAGAAGUGCCAGAGAAGGACUACUAUAAACCUGAACAACAGAUUAAACUCAAGACACCAUUUGCAAAGGACAUUUAUAAUGUUAUUAGUGAGAAGACAGCAGAGUUAUCAGCCCAUAAGCAAUCUGAUGUUGUUAAGCCUGUUUCUCCGACAACACCUUUCCCCCCUCAGAGACCAGAUGGCGCAGCGGUGUCAGUGAAAGUAGAGCCACCUGACUGCCCUCCCACCCCUCCCCUAAGGAAGGAUGUAGAGUCUCCGCUUGUGAAUCCAGAUAUAAAUGCUUCCAUUGUCCCACCAAGGCCACCCAGAAGUCCUUUACAUACAAGAAAGGAUGCAAAUCUUGACAAAGAUAUGUCACUGGACAAUUCAGAGGAGGAUUUUAAAAACUUAUCGACUGAAAAUGUUCAUCGUCCUUUGCAGAUGUCUGCCAGCAUUCCUUAUUCUGUAGAAGCUAUACGUCCCCCCUUACCUCCCUUGAGAAGUAACAGUGAUCAAAGUGGCUUAGUGUCCAAUUUCCAAACCAUGCCACCACCUCUUCCGCCAAGGACACCCUGUAAAAAAAGCGACCAGCAGAAAAGUAAACCAUCAGACCUUUCAAGUAGUUAUCAUGAUGUUAAAGCAGGAAAAAAGUGGCAGAAUGUAGUGGUCUCUACAGAAGAAGAGCAAGGGAAGACGAAUGAAAUGAUUUUAAACAUUCCAGUACAAAGUUUUGAUCAAAAUGUCACCAUUCCUUGCAGUCCCAAGACGCCUAGCCCAACUCUGACUGUAAAUCCUAAGGGCUCCAAAAAAGGAUGAUUAUAAAAAUGUGAGAAGACCUCUUCCUGCUCCUCGGACGAAAAAUAAUUCAACUGGAGGAACAUCAGCAUUAGACUCAACAGAUCAAACUUUUAUAAAAUUUGAAGAUUUACAAUCAUUCAACAAUGGUACAGUUCAGUCAUUGAAUUUAGAAAGUGACCAUGCAGAUCAAAUGCUUCAGUUCCAUGAUAUCUCUGCUCAUCAACCUUUGACAGACAGUGACUAUGAUACAGUGGCAUGUGUGCAAUCAAAAGCUUUAUUUCCUUCAGGGCGAAGCCGUUCUUAUUCACUUGAACGUUUAUCAAUCCACAGUGACUCGUCCGACUUGCCUGUUGAGACAAUUUAUGGAAGUGCGGAAGAUUUGUAUGACAUUCAUAAAUUGGAAGAAUUUAGAGAAAAAGUGUUGAGAGGGGAUUUCAGUACACUGUACAGUGGAAUCAAUCGAGACCAACUUAGUAAAGGGCGUGGCAGUGGCAGAAAACACUGGAUGAGAAGUGCACUUGUUCAAAGUGAAUGCAUGUAUGUAAAUGAUGACCUUCAAAGUAAAGAGCCGGCCCCACAACUGCCACCACGAGAUUACCCCCAAGCACGGCCAGGCUAUGCAACUUUGCCUAAUUUGAGACGCAGAGAAGAUAGGAAUACAAUUCUGGAUAUGGAUUACUGGGCUUCAGAGAUCAGUCAAACUCUCCAACUAAUAUUAGAAAAGACCAAUCCUGUGCCAGAUACCCUUCUGAUAUCUUCACUGGUAAAGGAAAGAAUUUGCUUUAAACUUUCUUACAUUCCUGCUUCAACUGACUGGCAUAAUUUUGCGGAGGAGAUAGGUCUUCAUGCAGAUGACAUUGGUAUCAUAGAGAACUUUGCCAGAUUCCACAACGUUUGCCCAGCCAAGAUAGUGCUAAACCACUGGCAGGUGCUAGAAAAUAAUGGUGUGAUUGCCAGUGAUUCCACAAGUAUCAAACACUGUACCAAGCAGUCUCUGUUGGACAUAUUGGAAAAAUUGGAGAGAUUAGAUUUAGUAGAACUUAUUAAGAACCGGGAUAGAAAACAGUAGGAAAAUGGUCAGUCGUUUCUAUAUGCAAGGUGCAUUUUUUUUUUU
rnacentral:misc_RNA from 1 species